UUGGUUGUGACCACCACAACAAAAAAAUUCACUGUUGCACAUGGAGAUAGCUGGAGCUGAAAGAGAAGGAAAGGGAGCUCCACGAGGAGUUUGAGCACCUGAAGCGGGUCCACCAGGAGGGAGAAGUGCAAGGUGGUGGAAAACCACUAGGAACUGGAGGAGGAGACCAAUGCUUUCAGCUGACUGAAGGCCGCGGUAGAGGCAUUGCAGUCGCAGGCUUUGCAGUUUCACCUUGCAGCAGCCCCUGUGGCAGGCAAGGACAAGAAUCAA
rnacentral:lncRNA from 1 species